CGACCUCAAAUCAAGUAAGA
rnacentral:rRNA from 1 species